UUCCUCUUAGAAUAAGAGGUACGGCCUGCUCACUGAAUAUUAAAGAGCCGCAGUAUUUUGACUGUGCUAAGGUAGCAUAAUCAUUAGUCUUUUAAUUGGAGACUGGUAUGAAUGGCUAAACGAGAAAUUGGCUUUUUUUACUGUAAGCAUUGAAUUUAUUUUUUUAGUGAAAAAACUAAGAUGUUCCUGAAAGACGAGAAGACCCUAUAGAGUUUCAUAUAGUAAGUAAUCAUAUUGUAUCAGGUUUUUUUCGGUAUGAUUUGGUUCUAUAAUUUGUUGGGGCGACAUUAAGAUAUAAAAAACUCUUUUUUUAACAAACUUUUAUAAAUGAGUAACUUGAUCCUUUAAAAGAGAUAAUAAGAAAAAAUUACCUUAGGGAUAACAGCGUAAUCUUUUUUGAGAGUUCUAAUCGACAAAAAGGUUUGCGACCUCGAUGUUGGACUAAAAUUUAGAUGAGGUGCAGCAGCUUCAUUUUAGGGUCUGUUCGACCCGUAAUAUUUUACACGAUCUGAGUUCAGACCG
rnacentral:rRNA from 1 species